AUAAAAACACACAAUUGGGUCAGCGCUUAAUAACAGAAAAUAAUAAACAACAAGGCAGCAACCUUAAGAAGGGGAUCCCUCUCAACCCUUCAAAAUAACACACAGGAAAACAAAAGAGCAAGAAGGGCUGCGCCACAUAAAAUUGAACAGGUAGUACUAAAUAGUCUCAUCCCAACAAUACAAAUUGUCACAUAUAAAGAUGUUUCUUAUCAGGAGGUAGAUGCAGCUGUUAAGCUCUUUAUGCUUGGGGGAUGUGGUAGAUCUGAGUGUCUUUAGUCUCCGUAUGUGGAUAGAGAAAGACAAGGUAAC